rnacentral:rRNA from 1 species
AGGACGAACGCUGGCGGCGUGCCUAACACAUGCAAGUCGAACGGACGAAGGGAGCUUGCUCCCCUAGUUAGUGGCGAACGGGUGAGUAACGCGUGAGCAACCUGCCUUUCAGAGGGGGGACAACGGUUGGAAACGACCGCUAAUACCGCAUGAAGCAUUCGGACCGCAUGAUCUGAAUGCCAAAGAUUUAUCGCUGAAAGAUGGGCUCGCGUCUGAUUAGAUAGUUGGUGGGGUAACGGCCUACCAAGUCGACGAUCAGUAGCCGGACUGAGAGGUUGAACGGCCACAUUGGGACUGAGAUACGGCCCAGACUCCUACGGGAGGCAGCAGUGGGGAAUAUUGGGCAAAUGGGGGAAACCCUGACCCAGCAACGCCGCGUGAAGGAAGAAGGCUUUCGGGUUGUAAACUUCUUUUACCGAGGACGAAGAACGUGACGGUACUCGGAGAAAAAGCCACGGCUAACUACGUGCCAGCAGCGGC